rnacentral:rRNA from 1 species
UGGGGAAUAUUGCACAAUGGGCGCAAGCCUGAUGCAGCGACGCCGCGUGCGGGAUGGAGGCCUUCGGGUUGUAAACCGCUUUUGUUCAAGGGCAAGGCACGUCUUCGGCCGUGUUGAGUGGAUUGUUCGAAUAAGCACCGGCUAACUACGUCGCC